CGCUAGUUGGUGAGGUAUGGCUCACCAAGGCGACGACGGGUAGCCGGCCUGAGAGGGCGACCGGCCACACUGGGACUGAGACACGGCCCAGACUCCUACGGGAGGCAGCAGUGGGGAAUAUUGCACAAUGGGCGAAAGCCUGAUGCAGCGACGCCGCGUGAGGGAUGACGGCCUUCGGGUUGUAAACCUCUUUCAGCAGGGAAGAAGCGAAAGUGACGGUACCUGCAGAAGAAGCGCCGGCUAACUACGUGCCAGCAGCCGCGGUAAUACGUAGGGCGCGAGCGUUGUCCGGAAUUAUUGGGCGUAAAGAGCUCGUAGGCGGCUUGUCACGUCGGUUGUGAAAGCCCGGGGCUUAACCCCGGGUCUGCAGUCGAUACGGGCAGGCUAGAGUUCGGUAGGGGAGAUCGGAAUUCCUGGUGUAGCGGUGAAAUGCGCAGAUAUCAGGAGGAACACCGGUGGCGAAGGCGGAUCUCUGGGCCGAUACUGACGCUGAAGAGCGAAAGCGUGGGGAGCGAACAGGAUUAGAUACCCUGGUAGUCCACGCCGUAAACGGUGGGCACUAGGUGUGGGCGACAUUCCACGUCGUCCGUGCCGCCAACUAACGCAAUUUAAGUGCCCCCGCCUUGGGGGAGUACGGCCCGCCAAGGCUUAAAAC
rnacentral:rRNA from 1 species